rnacentral:rRNA from 1 species
CCCGCCGGCGACCGGCGCACGGGUGAGUAACACGUAUGAAAACCUUGGCCCCGGUUAAGCAGGGGGAUAAGCGGAAGAAAUUCCGUCUAAUACCGCGUAACAACCCAUGGAGGCAUCUCUGUGGGUUUAAAGGAAGCGAUUCCGGCUACGGAUGGUCAUGCGUCGCAUUAGCUUGUUGGCGGGGUAACGGCCCACCAAGGCGACGAUGCGUAGGGGUUCUGAGAGGAAGGUCCCCCACACUGGUACUGAGACACGGUCCAGACUCCUACGGAAGGCAGCAG